CCUCAUUUUCUUUCUUUUCUUUUCCCCACUUUCUCUCUCUCUCUUUCCUCCCUCGACGAACCGAUGAAUCCAGAUUCCUCGACGAAUCGAUUGGUUUUUCCGGCUUAAAGACGUGAGAUUGUUUGCUCUGAGAACGAUUUCUGUUCGGUUCUGGUUCCAAUCGUUAUUCUUCUCGAGCCGACGAUUCGGAUCUGACCGCAAUCGAUCUCCGAUUGCGAUACGAGCUAUGGAGUGGUUUAUCUGAUGGACUUACGGGGACGGCGAGGUGCACCGGCAAGGUUUUUCGGGAAGCGAAUCUGUGAUGAAUAUGAUCCGAUCAUCACCUCUCGUUCUUACUUUUGAGAUCUUCUUUGAGUGCCCAGUUUGCACUCAGUACUUUGAGGUAAGUUAAACGUUUAUGGCUAUGACGAUUAGAGGUUCAUUUAUAAAGUUUGAAACCAUAGGCAUUACUCACCUGAAAUUGGUAUCACACAUUAAAGUUCAAGACACGAGAGCACAAGCAUUAGAUCAAACACGUCGCGCAGAGACGUAGGGCGUGACUUGACACCGGUCCAAAUACAAGUAUGAUUUUUCAGCGAAAUGUAUAGCUUCCGACGGGGGUAUUGGUGAGGUUCAAGAGGCAGAGGAGGUUGACUUAGGAGUGAGAAGGUCAAAGAGGGAGAGGAGAGUCAAUCCACGAUACCAAAACUGAGUCCUUGCUUCAAAGUUCUUUUAAUUAUUUUGGUUGUUUCUACAAAUAAACUAGGUCCACUCUGUUCCUAGAUUGAAGGACAAGAGUAGGCACAUUCACUUUCAGUUUUGCUAUUUGCUUCCAGCUUUGUAGGAACAAUAUCUAAGAGAAGGUCAAGAACAAUAGUUCCAUUGGCUUCUUUCUAAGCUUCAGCUUCUUUCGUAAGAA